UUGGAGGGCAAGUCUGGUGCCAGCAGCCGCGGUAAUUCCAGCUCCAAUAGCGUAUAUUAAAGUUGUUGCAGUUAAAAAGCUCGUAGUUGAAUUUCGGGGUCAGUAGGCUGGUCGUGCCACAGGUAUGUACUGGUCUCACUGAUUCCUCCUUCCUGAUGAACCGUAAUGCCAUUAAUUUGGUGUUGCGGGGAAUCUGGACUGUUACUUUGAAAAAAUUAGAGUGUUUAAAGCAGGCUAACGCUUGAAUACAUUAGCAUGGAAUAAUGAAAUAGGACGAUCGAUCCUAUUUUGUUGGUUUCUAGGAUUGACGUAAUGAUUAAUAGGGAUAGUUGGGGGCAUUAGUAUUCAAUUGUCAGAGGUGAAAUUCUUGGAUUUAUUGAAGACUAACUACUGCGAAAGCAUUUGCCAAGGAUGUUUUCAUUAAUCAAGAUCGAAAGUUAGGGGAUCGAAGACGAUCAGAUACCGUCGUAGUCUUAACCAUAAACUAUGCCGACUAGGGAUCGGAUGAUGUUAAUUUUUUAAUGACUCNUUCGGCGCCUUACGGGAAA
rnacentral:rRNA from 1 species